GCCUCAUAAUUAAGACAUCCAAUAAAAUUUGAACGAUGCACUGAAGAUUAGCAUGGCCCCUGCGCGAGGAUAACACGCAUAUAUCGGGAAAUGGUCCAAAUUUUU